AUGUGGACCGAUGCUCCAGCUUCAAUGCUUCAUCAGCCUUCCGCGUCGGCGAGCGACGACCGAGCACCAGCACCAACACCAGCAGCUCUUCCCUUUCCUCCCCCACUCCCACGGACGGACGGGGCAGGGCCGACCGACGCGCAUCUCGUCGCUCGCUCCGCCGACCCGCUCCCCUCCUCCUCCCAUCCGCUCGCCAUGGAGGAAGCCAAAGCUGCACAAGAUAGAGAUCACAAGUUCUUAUCGAUAGCGGUAGAAGAAGCUUACCGAGCAGUCGACUGUGGCCAUGGACGCCCAUUUGGUGCGGUCGUAGUCCGCAACGACGAAGUAGUAGUCAGUUGCCAUAACAUGGUUUUGAAGAACACUGAUCCAACUGCACAUGCUGAGUUAACUGCAAUAAGAGAGGCUUGCAAAAAGCUUGGAAAGAUUGAGCUGUCGGAUUGCGAAAUGUAUGCAUCCUGCGAACCUUGUCCGAUGUGUUUUAGCGCUGUUCAUCUAUCCCGGAUCAAGAGGCUGGUGUAUGGAGCCAAGGCAGAAGCUGCCGUUGCCAUUGGAUUUGACGCCUUCAUUGCUGAUGCUCUCGGAGGAACUGGGCACUACCGUACGGCCAACCUGGAGAUAAAGCGAGCAGAUGGGAAUGGAGCCCUGCUUGCUGAACAGGUCUUUGAGAACACCAAGGGGAAAUUUCGAUUGAAAUAA
rnacentral:rRNA from 1 species